UACGGAGGGUGCAAGCGUUAUCCGGAUUCACUGGGUUUAAAGGGUGCGUAGGUGGGCAGGUAGGUCCGUGGUGAAAUCUCUGAGCUUAACUCAGAAACUGCCGUGGAUACUAUUUGUCUUGAAUAUUGUGGAGGUGAGCGGAAUAUGUCAUGUAGCGGUGAAAUGCUUAGAUAUGACAUAGAACACCAAUUGCGAAGGCAGCUCACUACACAAUGAUUGACGCUGAGGCACGAAAGCGUGGGGAUCAAACAGG
rnacentral:rRNA from 1 species